UAUUUAAACUAACAUCCCACAAUUACUCCUAAAUCUAGGAAACUAGCUGUUUCUUUGCAAAUCACAUUUAUGACUCUCGUGCAAUUUAGUAUAUAUACAUAAAUACAUGUUCAAUUUUAAUUUUAUCAAACCAUGGCAUUAAACAAUGGAAUCAUCCUCUUCUCCAAUCUUUGAGUUUCGUGGUGGUUUAAAUUACGAGAACAAAGGAGAUAAGAGGAAGCAGAAGGCCUCUUUCAUCUCUUAAAUAUCACACUCAACUAAAACAAGUUAUAUACUGUCGAUUUUUUGAAGGAUCAGAGGUCGAGAUGGAAUUUGUUGUUUAUAUUCUGAGAUGUGCAACAACACUUGAGCAAGUGUUUCUCAGCCCUAGAGUCAAAAAUUAUUUCUCUUCGAUGCCGCACCCUAAAUCGAGUUUGAGAUUCAAUGAAGAAAAACUACGUGGAAAAGCUAUCUCUAGAAAAGCUAUGGUGGACAUCCAAUAAAAUAAGUUAAUUGUGUCUGUUGGAAAUUACUUUUUAAGGACUGUAAAUCGAGACAAUGUUACGUGCUAUGGAAGUACUGAAGUAAACAAACACCUAUUACAACAUAGAUUCGGAAAGCGAAACUUAAAGCCGAUUAUAAGUGAUAUUGGAUAUCCUCUACGCAUCCACUCGGUGAGGACAAAGCUGAGUGUUCCAGAAUCGGUAACCCAACAGUCCUAUUCCUGAUGCACCAGUAACCUUGUUUUUACAUUCAGGAAUAAGACUGUUGGGUUACCUUGUUUUUACAGUCACAGGAUCGAUCAAACAACUGUCUGGAACACUCAGCUUUGUCCUCACGAGUGGACGCGUAGAGGAUAUCCAAUAUCGCUUAUAAUCGGCUUAAAGUUUUGCUUUUCCGAAUCCAUGUUCUAAUAGGUGUUUGUUGUAGGAAAAUAAUUUAUUGUGUAUUUGGAAAAAGAAAGGGCUAUCACCUAUUGUUGUUGUUUUUAUUUUGCUUUAAUAUUUUAACUUGUUGAUAUUUGUAUUAAUAACUUUGUUGAUUCUUGUAUCCUCUAAUUAAUUAGGGAAGUGCUUGUUUAAUCCUGGAGAAACAUUUCACACUGCUGAAAUUUUUCUUUGGACAGUGCCUAGCACGACUCAAGUAUAAUUAAUAUAUUAACCGGUUAAGAAGCAGAUAGAUUUCUAUUAUAGUUGCCAUAUUGAUUACAGUAUUAUCACUAAGGUAGCAAUAAUAUUAUACACUGUUAUUUUAUUGUAUUGUUAUUAUUAUUAACAUUUUCUUAACAGUUUAAAUAUUAUUGUUAUUGGUAUUUUUACUGUUGUUCCCCAACAUUUGUUUAUUUGGUCAGGAAUGUAUGCUAAGUUUGUAAUAUUCGUAAUAUCCAGUUGUUUCUUAACGUUCUCAACAAUUCCACCACAACAUUAUUUUUAACACAAUCAAUAUGUUACAAACCCGUCCUACAUCUUCAAUAUAGAGGUUAUAGGUUCCAGCAUAUUCUAACAGAAAAACUGUUUUAUGACCAUUUUGAUCAAAGAUGAAAACCACUGUAAAGUCACCUGUGAUACAGAAUAGAAUAUUAUACCAGCAAUCCCGAAGAGUUAUAUAAAGUCCACAAUAAUAGAUGUUAAAAAUGAGAAACUAGAAUUAAAGGUGAACAAGAGAAACAACGGUUUAUCUUACUUGAAUAACCGUAUCUUGCAUCUCGAGUUCUUUCAUGACAUCAUUCUGCAUUUCAUUAAGACCCGACCUUUGCAUUUCAUACUAUCCUAUUAAUUUUAUCGCUUUCAUGUACUAAUAGUCUUGUUUAAUCAGGAGGAGAAUGGCUUCCAUGAUCUGUCCGAGAUAGGAAGAGCUUGGAACUUGAAAAGAGAUCGAAGGAGGUAGCUCAGAAGGCAGCAACAGACGAUGCUGAUGUUCGGAGAUCAACACGUGUCCGUGCUCCACCAAGAGAUAAUCCUGCUGUUGCCUUCUUGAAGUACGUUAACAAGUGGAAAGAAGACUAACUUAGAAAGUUAGCCGGCUAUGGCAACAUACUCCGCUGUUCAGAACUGGUAUUGUAGUUGCAGCUAACCAUCAUGCCGAGAUGAAUAUAGGGGGUAAAGGAAUUCGUCCUGCAUUUUGUUGAGAAAUGGCAGGUCAUUUUUUUUGGCAAUUGAACACUGGCCAUGUUAUGUUAGGAAUGAAAUUGUAUUCUUUUUCCAUCCCUGUGAUUAUGGUACAGAUGUGAGGUUACCGUUCCAAUUUUGCAUAUGAUGUUCAUCUAUCGGCUGGUAAGUGGUGCGGGUGCAGGUGCAGGUUUAGGUGCGAGUGUUGGGUCGGUUUCUCAUCAGAAUGGUGCUCAUCAGCAACAAGCGUUGCACGGUCUUCAGGAUUCACCUGUAUUCAAUUAUAUUAGCAACCUCUCUCCUAUACAACUUGUCAAGAGUGCUCCAGUUGUGCAAGAUUUCCAAGGGCUGAAUUCUCCUCCUCUUCUAUUUACCUCACCUCGAUCAGAUUAAUGCACAGAGUCAAUCAAGCUUGUUG